rnacentral:rRNA from 1 species
UACGUAGGCAGCGAGCGUUGUUCGGAAUUACUGGGCGUAAAGAGUGUGUAGGCGGUGCUCCCAGUCUGUUGUGAAAUCUCCCGGCUUAACUGGGAGGGUGCAGCGGAAACUAGAGUGCUAGAGGGUGGGAGAGGUAAGCGGAAUUCCUGGUGUAGCGGUGAAAUGCGCAGAUAUCGGGAAGAACACCGGUGGCGAAGGCGGCUCACUGGCCCGAAACUGACGCUCAUGCACGACAGCGUGGGGAUCAAACAGG